AGAAGUUGGAAAGUUUCAUCUCAUCAAUUUCUUAUGAUUCUUCAUCAGCAAAAGAACUAGUUCGACCAUUAAAACUAUCCACUCUCUUGCAUGACUCAGGGCAUGACCAGUGAAGAGUAUAUUUGUUGGCUUUAGAUUACCAUGAGGCAGAUCCUUUUUCAUGAUGAAGGUAGGACAAGUACCGAGCCUCAUCUAUGUCGACCCUUUAGCCUUUGGCUGACUAAUAAGCGCAAGCAUCUUCUUGUAUUGACUCAGACUCUGCACAGCAUAUGUGGAGCAAAAGUAGAAUCUUAUAUUUCACUAGGAACAUAUUGUUAGUAGGAAAAAGAUAAGGUCAGGCAGAUGGCCACAAAAGCAUCAAUUUGCAAGUACCAGUUCAUGGCGAGCAUGUUAAUGCUAAGGUGUCAAUAAAAUAACCAAAAUAUUCAGCACCAAGGAAUAUAUGUCAAGUACAUGGGAUGCAGGCGUGAAGCACGAUAUUGGAAUAGCAAUCAUGAUCAAUCCAGAAAGUCGCUA
rnacentral:lncRNA from 1 species